AACGAACGCUGGCGGCAUGCCUAACACAUGCAAGUCGAACGAGACCGCUGACUUCGGUUGGCGCGUCUAGUGGCGCACGGGUGCGUAACGCGUGGGAAUCUGCCCUUGGGUACGGAAUAACAGUUAGAAGUGACUGCUAAUACCGUAUAAUGACUUCGGUCCAAAGAUUUAUCGCCCAGGGAUGAGCCCGCGUAGGAUUAGCUUGUUGGUGAGGUAAAGGCUCACCAAGGCGACGAUCCUUAGCUGGUCUGAGAGGAUGAUCAGCCACACUGGGACUGAGACACGGCCCAGACUCCUACGGGAGGCAGCAGUGGGGAAUAUUGGACAAUGGGCGAAAGCCUGAUCCAGCAAUGCCGCGUGAGUGAUGAAGGCCUUAGGGUUGUAAAGCUCUUUUGCCCGGGAUGAUAAUGACAGUACCGGGAGAAUAAGCUCCGGCUAACU
rnacentral:rRNA from 1 species